rnacentral:pre_miRNA from 1 species
GGGGGCCCUCGUCUUACCCCGCAGUGUUUGGGUGCUGGCUGGGUCUCUAAUACUGCCGGGUAAUGAUGGAGGCCCCU